rnacentral:lncRNA from 12 species
ACAUUCUCAACAAUACUGAAUUAUGUGAUAUUUGUUGUUAUCAUUUCAUCACUGCCUAGUUAUUUUCAUUUUAAAUUUUAUUUUAAUCAAAAUAACUUUAACCCUCUGGAGUCGAUUAACGCGUAUACGCGUUUUGAGGUAUUUUCUCAUGAUAACCCCGAAAAGAACUUAAAUUACACUUUCAGUUUUGAUCGUACAGAUAAGAGCAAUACAUCAAUCGAAUCUGUAAAGGGUCUACUUUUUUUUGUAUACAGACAUAAUAACAACAAAACUUUGUGCACUUAUAAAAUAAAGAUUUUUUUUUUUUUUUUUUUUUUUUUUUUUUUUUUUUUUUUUUUUUUUUUUUUUUUUUUUUUUUUUUUUUUUUUUUUUUUUUUUUUUUUUUUUUUUUUUUUUUUUUUUUUUUUUUUUUUUUUUUUUUUUUUUUUUUUUUUUUUUUUUUUUUUUUUUUUUUUUUUUUUUUUUUUUUUUUUUUUUUUUUUUUUUUUUUUUUUUUUUUUUUUUUUUUUUUUUUUUUUUUUUUUUUUUUUUUUUUUUUUUUUUUUUUUUUUUUUUUUUUUUUUUUUUUUUUUUUUUUUUUUUUUUUUUUUUUUUUUUUUUUUUUUUUUUUUUUUUUUUUUUUUUUUUUUUUUUUUUUUUUUUUUUUUUUUUUUUUUUUUUUUUUUUUUUUUUUUUUUUUUUUUUUUUUUUUUUUUUUUUUUUUUUUUUUUUUUUUUUUUUUUUUUUUUUUUUUUUUUUUUUUUUUUUUUUUUUUUUUUUUUUUUUUUUUUUUUUUUUUUUUUUUUUUUUUUUUUUUUUUUUUUUUUUUUUUUUUUUUUUUUUUUUUUUUUUUUUUUUUUUUUUUUUUUUUUUUUUUUUUUUUUUUUUUUUUUUUUUUUUUUUUUUUUUUUUUUUUUUUUUUUUUUUUUUUUUUUUUUUUUUUUUUUUUUUUUUUUUUUUUUUUUUUUUUUUUUUUUUUUUUUUUUUUUUUUUUUUUUUUUUUUUUUUUUUUUUUUUUUUUUUUUUUUUUUUUUUUUUUUUUUUUUUUUUUUUUUUUUUUUUUUUUUUUUUUUUUUUUUUUUUUUUUUUUUUUUUUUUUUUUUUUUUUUUUUUUUUUUUUUUUUUUUUUUUUUUUUUUUUUUUUUUUUUUUUUUUUUUUUUUUUUUUUUUUUUUUUUUUUUUUUUUUUUUUUUUUUUUUUUUUUUUUUUUUUUUUUUUUUUUUUUUUUUUUUUUUUUUUUUUUUUUUUUUUUUUUUUUUUUUUUUUUUUUUUUUUUUUUUUUUUUUUUUUUUUUUUUUUUUUUUUUUUUUUUUUUUUUUUUUUUUUUUUUUUUUUUUUUUUUUUUUUUUUUUUUUUUUUUUUUUUUUUUUUUUUUUUUUUUUUUUUUUUUUUUUUUUUUUUUUUUUUUUUUUUUUUUUUUUUUUUUUUUUUUUUUUUUUUUUUUUUUUUUUUUUUUUUUUUUUUUUUUUUUUUUUUUUUUUUUUUUUUUGGUCACAAUUCCAGCUUCUUUAUUUAAACUGGCUAUUACUUUUCUGUUUUGGUUGUCUAUGUUUUACCAGUAUUGCCUUAUUAAGCAAAAUAGUUAUGAGCAGUGUCCAAGCCUGCUGCUUUUUUUCUCUUUCUCUCCCUUCUGCACACGACCACCUUCCUUUCUGUUUCUCCUUGUAA